GUUCCUAGAACGCAGGCAGCAGCCGGAACUCAGUUGUCUGCACCGCAGUGACACAGCCCCGCAGCCCAGGCCUGAGUUGGCUGGCAUGGGCCAGCCACCCGUUAGUCUCUGCUGUGUAGACAGACUCUGAGAAGUUACGAUCCGUGACCCCGAGCCCUUCUUUAACACAACUGACAACAUCACUAAUUCAUCAAAGAAGCCGGGAGGAAAAUGGCCAAAAAGAGAGAUGAAGAAAAAAGACCAACAACGAACGACGAUGGAUCACGCUGUUUAUGUCAGAGACUUUCCCAAGAAAUGUCCAGCUGUUCAUCUCAAGCCAGUUCCUGGAACAAGCAGUGCCGCAGGUACUGGGUGAAAAUGACACAGCGAGCGAUGGAUUUACGCAUCCAUAGCAAUGCUAAGGAAUCUAGCUUCACUGGGGCUCGUCCAAGCCCAGACCGCUCCACUCGUCUGAGAUGGUGGAAAUUUCGCUCCUUGGCUAUGUGUUUGUUUUGCCUUCAGAUCAAGUUCCUCCUUCUCCCUACAGUGCCAGGAGCUUGGCACAGGGGCUGGGAGGUCUCCUGCAUUGGCAGCAGCUUCCAGGGCGAAUGGAAACUCAAAGGCUUACAUGAAAAACUAUAUAGCCCUGUCAUCCUCUCAGCUCUGUGGGAAGGUUUGGCGAGCAGUUAACAGAAAACAAGUUCAGAAUAAACUUCUUACUCUGCUCACUUGGAUUGCUCUGGGGAGUUCUCUAGCUCAAGUAAUAAAGUAAAUGGCUCUUUUUAGAGCUGAGAGUAGGAGAAAGGCUUUUUGUACUGCCGUCCCAUAGAAGUCAACAUAGAUUCCUUGAAAAGAGAGAGUGAGUGAGAAUGAACUGUAGAUAAAAUAUUAAGGGACAGAUUCUGUCUUGUCCUGCAUGACCACACAAGGGAUGAUGGGACUCUCCUGUGUGGCUAUCCACUUUGGGUGUAGCUGCAUGGUCAGCAAGCAGAGUCCAUGAGGCCACUAGAUGUGUCCCCACAUGCAUAUGGACGGGUGUGUCAUGGAGAACAAGUGGGACUUUGAUCCAGCACCUCUCCUCCCAUGUGACACUGGCACGCCUGCACCAGGUCAAGAGCUGGCAUAGGGUACGUCCCCCUCUCCCUUCCCCUCAGGGAGCUGGGCAAUGGACUAGGAUGGAGUCACAACAACAUGCUGCCUUGUGCACGGGGCUUGUGACAAAGCCAUGACUGAGCUCUACAAUAGGCACCAAUGAACUCCAGGCACAAGGGGUGCGGUGGGGGGACGGGAUUCUUCUCCCUUCAUUUAAUGCUGGCCAUCUCAGUGCUCAGCCAAGUGCUUCCCCAUUCUGAAAGGGUUCCCCUGGCUGCAGGGCUCCUGCAAAGCGGCGUUGCCGGGGUGCAAGGAGGGCAUGGCCAUGCGGAAGCGUUCUUCUCCCUCAGGACCCGUGUGGGAUUAGCUCUUCAGAGGAAGGUGCGAAAGGCCAAUCCACUGCGAAACGUUCCAGGAGCCAUAUGAGGAACCUCCCAGAGAUUCAUGUCUCUUUUCGGAGGGGUUUCUCUCACACACAGGACCAAUGUGGCCCAUAAAAUACAGCGAUAGCACAAAGGGAGUGUGAACAGAGGGACAGGAGCUUUUCUCUCAAGGCCUUAAAAAAUUUGAUUGUUCUGUUGUAACAAAAAUAGCUUCACGUUCUGGCUGAACUGGCAGUGCGCUGGGGUGCAGCUGGCUUGUCUCGGGGACCAGGUGCGGGAGAGGUACUUCAACCGUUGCUGGCAGUUCUUUGCUGUACACAGUGACGGGCUGUCAAGUUUGUGCUUCUCUGUGGAUACCUGGAUGGUUUAUGCUUAAUUUAGGUGACAAGCGGCAGACAAUCUAUGGAUUUACACCAGGGGUGAAUUUGUUCCACCUUUUCAAAACACCUGUUGUUUUACAUUUGAUGUAGAGCAGCUCAAAGCAUUUUCAACAAAACAGUUUCCCCAUCAGAAAAUGCAAUUUAAUCAACAUCAAAACAUUUUGCAGAAACAUGCAGCAUUCAACAAAAUUUUCAAGGGGAAAAAGUCAAACAAACGUAAUAAAACAUUUUGACAUUAUCAAAAUGAAAUGCUUUGAUGGUUCCAAAGAGAAAGCUUUUGGAAUCCUCAUUUCCUGGGAAAUUUCAACUUUUGAUUCUGAUUUAGAAUGAAAACAAAUUUUGAAAUGUCAA